AUUUUAAUUGGGGCCUGUGUGCAGGGCUCACCCUAGCUUCGGAGAACGAAGGCUUUCUCUGAUGGGUCUCUGCUCCUGAGCGUGUCACAAGCUCUUGAAAAACCACACGGAACAACCCAGAAAUAGCCAACAGACCAAAGGGAAAACGGUUUGGAGCCAGUUCCACAAAGCGACGGAACACCUCCUGAGACUGUGUGCUGGAGAGAAAGGGUCCCACUCUUCUAUCCCUACAAGGACAAGAGGACUCUCUGGGUCUCCUUUGUAAAACUACUCACCCAUGAAGACCUAACAACCUCCUGUUAUGGUUUGAAUGAGUAGGAUCCUACCCACUCGCCCUUUGCCCAUGUGUCACAGGCUUGGUCACCAGGAUGGUGCUGACUGGACAGUGGAGAGCCUUUAGGAGAUGGAGCCUUCGCAAGGGAUUAUGGGAAUUUACUCUCCACACUCUGCUACAUCCUGGCUCCCAUGAAGCUCCUCUGGACGGCAGCAUCACCCCAUGACACGUUACAAGUUCCACAAUUACAGCUGAUUUCAUAUUACAUUUCACGGUGACUGCUUGCUGACGACCUAGAGACGUUCUUCAUUCCUGCACGCCGGCUGCCUCCCGACCACAGCGCAAAGUGACUCUUGUGCCCGUGUGCUGCUGGCCACCAGCUCAGCCAACAGGCCACAACAGCCAUGACCUUGUCCUGGGUGUCAGGGUGACUUGAGGACCACUCUCUACAAACAGUGGAGACUCCUACAGUGAAAGCCUCAAGUUGUAUCUGCUUCCAAGAGGGAGAUGGAGAGUCAGAGUCCCCCGAGGAUUUGAAUAACAGCAGAGAAAAAGCUGAGCUAGAUAGAGUGGCUUGGUGGCUGGAGAGAUGGCUCAGCGGUUAAGAGCACUGACUGCUCUUCCAGAGGUCCUGAGU
rnacentral:lncRNA from 1 species